rnacentral:snRNA from 1 species
GGAUGUGAGGGCGAUCUGGCUGUGACAUCUGUCUCUCCAUUGAUUGCACAUCUGUCACCCCAUUGAUCGCCAGGGUUGAUUCGACUGAUCUGGCUGGCUGGGUGGGUGUCCCCCUCCUCCCUCACCAAUCCAGGUGUGUCCCUCCUGAGGCUGUGGAUAGAGUAAAGAGGAGAACCUUCCCCCAGAGAAGAGGACCAGUCUUCGGUCAAGGGUAUAUGAGUAGCUGCGCUCCCUGCUAGAACCUCCAAACAAGCUCUCUCAAAAUGUAACUCACUUGCCAAUUCUCACUCACAACCAUUACAAU